rnacentral:rRNA from 1 species
AGAGUUUGCUCCUGGCUCAGGACGAACGCUGGCGGCGUGCCUAAUACAUGCAAGUCGAGCGAGCAGAACUAACAGAUCUACUUCGGUAGUGACGUUAGGGACGCGAGCGGCGGAUGGGUGAGUAACACGUGGGUAGCCUGCCCCGCAGACUGGGAUACCACUUGGAAACAGGUGCUAAUACCGGAUAACAACAGUUGCCGCAUGGCAGCAGUUUAAAAGGCGGUUUCGACCGUCACUGCAGGAUGGACCCGCGGUGCAUUAGCUAGUUGGUAAGGUAACGGCUUACCAAGGCAAUGAUGCAUAGCCGAGUUGAGAGACUGAUCGGCCACAUUGGGACUAAGACACGGCCCAAACUCCUACGGGAGGCAGCAGUAGGGAAUCUUCGAGAGUGGGACGCAAGUCUGAUGGAGCAACGCCGCGUGAGUGAAGAAGGUUUUCGGAUCGUAAAGCUCUGUUGUUGGUGAAGAAGGAUAGAGGUAGGAAAUGGCCUGUUAUUUGACGGUAAUCAACCAGAAAGUCACGGGCUAACUACGUGCCAGCAGCCCGCGGGUAAUACGUAGGUGGCAAGCGUUGUCCGGGAUUUAUUGGGCGUAAAGCGAGUGCAGGCGGGUUAAAUAAGUCUGAUGUGAAAGGCCCUCGGGCUCAGCCGAGGAAUUGCAUCGGAAACUGUUCAACUUGAGUGCAGAAGGAGGAGAGUGGAACUCCAUGUGUAGCCGGUGGAAUGCGUAGAUAUAUGGAAGAACACCAGUGGGCGAAGGCGGCUCUCUGGUCUUGUAACUGACGCUGAAGGCUUCGAAAGCAUGGGUUAGGCGACAGGAAUAGAUACCCCUGGUAGUUCAAUGGCCGUAAACCAAUGAAGUGCUAAGUGAUUGGGAGGUUUUCGGCCUCUCAAGUGCUUUGGCAGCCUAAACCGCAUAUAAGGCACUCUCCCCUGAGGGGAGAGUACGACCCCAAGGUUGAAACCUCAAAAGGGAAUUGCGGGGGGCCCGCACAAAGCGGGAGGGAGCAUGUGGGUUUAAUUCGAAGCAACGCGAAGAACCUUACCAGUCUUGACAUUAGUGCCAUCCUAGAGAAUUAGGAGUUCCUCGGGGACGCUAAGACAGGGGUGCAGGCUGUCGUCAGCUCGUGUGUGAGAGUUGGGUUAAGUCCCGCAACGAGCGCACCCUUGUUAUUAGUUGCCAGCAUAAGUUGGGCACUCUAAUGAGACUGCGGUGACAAACCGGAGGAAGGUGGGGAUGACGUCAAGUCAUCAUCCCCUUAGACCUGGGCUACACACGUGCUACAAUGGUCGGCACAAUGAGCAGCGAACCUGUGAAGGCAAGCGAAUCUCUGAAAGCCGAUCUCAGUUCGGACUGUAGUCUGCAACCCGACUACACGAAGCUGGAAUCGUAGUAAUCGCGGAUCAGCACGCCGCGGUGAAUACGUUCCCGGGCCUUGUACACACCGCCCGUCACACCAUGGGAGUCUCCAAUGCCCAAAGCCGGUAAGCUAACCGCAAGGGAGCAGCCGUCUAAGGCAGGGGAGAUGACUGUGAAGUCGUAACAAGGUAACC